CUGCCUCCUCUCCUUCCUUCUGGUCCCAGGAAUACCGAGUCAUGAGGAAGAUCCUGCUGCUCCAGGAGGCUGCCAAGAAUUACAACCUAGAACCCGAGGGAGCAAUUUGUGGCCUGGUUCCAAGACAUGGAGUUGCUCAACGAGAAUGAGAGCUACAACCUGUCCUGCCAGCCAGAGCCCUAGACCUAGUUGGCCUGCAAAAUACGCAAGGCGAAGAAGAACCGGCCAUCAUCAAGGUCUGGGCCCCCAGGCCCCAACGCCGAACCCCGUACCAGUGGCCGAUCACAGCCCCAUCCUCAGCAGCGGGGACACUGUUGGGAUGCUUGC